rnacentral:misc_RNA from 1 species
UCCGAGUUGACCCCGGCAGUCUCCUGCGAGUCCCCGCCAUUACGCGCUGGCAACACAGGACAAGGGUUGCGCUCGUUGCGGGACUUAACCCAACACCUCACGGCACGAGCAUGUCAAGCCUGGGUAAGGUUUUUCGCGUUGCGUCGAAUUAAACCACAUGCACCACCGCUUGUGCGGGCCCCCGUCAAUUCCUUUGAGUUUCAACCUUGCGGCCGUACUCCCCAGGCGGGGUACUUACUCCGUUAGGUGCGGCACCGGCGGUAACCCGCCGACACUUAGUACCCAUCGUUUAGGGCGUGGACUAC